rnacentral:tRNA from 5 species
GCGCGGGUGGCGGAAUUGGUAGACGCAUCAGGUUUAGGUCUUGACGCCGUAAGGUGUGGGGGUUCGAGUCCCCCCUCGCGCACCA